rnacentral:rRNA from 1 species
CCAAUAGCGUAUAUUAAAGUUGUUGCAGUUAAAAAGCUCGUAGUUGAAUUUCGGGAUCAUCAGGUUGGUCGUGCCUCUGGUAUGUACUGAUUUCGAUGGUUCCUCCUUCUUGUAGAACCGUAAUGCCAUUAAUUUGGUGUUGCGGGAAAACAGGACUGCUACUUUGAAAAAAUUAGAGUGUUUAAAGCAGGCAAUCGCUUGAAUACAUUAGCAUGGAAUAAUGAAAUAGGACGUUUGAUCCUAUUUUGUUGGUUUCUAGGAUUGACGUAAUGAUUAAUAGGGAUAGUUGGGGGCAUUAGUAUUCAAUUGUCAGAGGUGAAAUUCUUGGAUUUAUUGAAGACUAACUACUGCGAAAGCAUUUGCCAAGGAUGUUUUCAUUAAUCAAGAACGAAAGCUAGGGGAUCGAAGACGAUCAGAUACCGUCGUAGUCUUAACCAUAAACUAUGCCGACUAGGGAUCGGAUGAUGUUAAUUUUUUAAUGACUCAUUCGGCGCCUUACG